rnacentral:piRNA from 1 species
UGAGAAGCAAUUCCUGUGAACUCUGAGAGC